rnacentral:rRNA from 1 species
UACGUAGGGUGCAAGCGUUUGUCCGGAAUUAUUGGGCGUAAAGAGCUCGUAGGCGGCUUAGUAAGUCGGGUGUGAAAUCCCCCCGGCUUAACCUGGGAACUGCGUCUGAUACUGGGAGCUUGAGUUCGGGGAGAGGGAUGUAGAAUUCCAGGUGUAGCGGUGAAAUGCGUAGAUAUCUGGAGGAAUACCGGUGGCGAAGGCGGCAUCCUGGACCGAAACUGACGCUGAGGCACGAAAGCGUGGGGAGCAAACAGG